GGCUGUAGCUCAUUGGCAGAGCAUCUGCUUUGCAUACAGAAGGUUCUGGGUUCAAUGCUCAUUUCCAGGUAGGGCUG